rnacentral:rRNA from 1 species
GACGAACGCUGGCGGCGUGCUUAACACAUGCAAGUCGAACGAUGAAGCCCUUCGGGGUGGAUUAGUGGCGAACGGGUGAGUAACACGUGGGCAAUCUGCCCUUCACUCUGGGACAAGCCCUGGAAACGGGGUCUAAUACCGGAUAACACCUGCCCGGGCAUCCGGGUGGGUUAAAAGCUCCGGCGGUGAAGGAUGAGCCCGCGGCCUAUCAGCUUGUUGGUGAGGUAGUGGCUCACCAAGGCGACGACGGGUAGCCGGCCUGAGAGGGCGACCGGCCACACUGGGACUGAGACACGGCCCAGACUCCUACGGGAGGCAGCAGUGGGGAAUAUUGCACAAUGGGCGAAAGCCUGAUGCAGCGACGCCGCGUGAGGGAUGACGGCCUUCGGGUUGUAAACCUCUUUCAGCAGGGAAGAAGCGAA